GGAUUGCCUUAGUAGCGGCGAGUGAAGCGGCAAAAGCUCAAAUUUGAAAUCUGGCACUUUCAGUGUCCGAGUUGUAAUUUGAAGAAGGUAUCUUUGGGUCUGGCUCUUGUCUAUGUUUCUUGGAACAGAACGUCACAGAGGGUGAGAAUCCCGUGCGAUGAGAUGUCCCAGACCUAUGUAAAGUUCCUUCGAAGAGUCGAGUUGUUUGGGAAUGCAGCUCUAAGUGGGUGGUAAAUUCCAUCUAAAGCUAAAUAUUGGCGAGAGACCGAUAGCGAACAAGUACAGUGAUGGAAAGAUGAAAAGAACUUUGAAAAGAGAGUGAAAAAGUACGUGAAAUUGUUGAAAGGGAAGGGCUUGAGAUCAGACUUGGUAUUUUGUAUGUUACUCUCUCGGGGGUGGCCUCUACAGUUUACCGGGCCAGCAUCAGUUUGAGCGGUAGGAUAAGUGCAAAGAAAUGUGGCACUGCUUCGGUAGUGUGUUAUAGUCUUUGUCGAUACUGCCAGCUUAGACUGAGGACUGCGGCUUCGGCCUAGGAUGUUGGCAUAAUG
rnacentral:rRNA from 1 species